rnacentral:tRNA from 1 species
GCCCCCGUGGUGGAACGUAGACACGCCAGCAUAGGAUGCUGGUGGCCUAUAGGCCGUCCCGAUGCGAACUCGGGCGGGGGCACCA